rnacentral:rRNA from 1 species
UACGUAGGGGGCAAGCGUUGUCCGGAUUUAUUGGGCGUAAAGAGCGUGUAGGCGGCCAAGCAGGUCAGCUGUGAAAACUCGAGGCUCAACCUCGAGACGUCGGUUGAAACCGCUUGGCUAGAGUCCGGAAGAGGAGAGUGGAAUUCCCGGUGUAGCGGUGAAAUGCGCAGAUAUCGGGAAGAACACCCGUGGCGAAGGCGGUUGCCUGGAGCUUUGCUGACGCUGAGGCGCGAAAGCGUGGGGAGCGAACAGG